GUCGCGAGAGCUCAGCAGGUAGAGCAUCCGCCUGGUAUGCGGAGGGUCGUCUGUUCGAUUCCGGCUUGCGGCC
rnacentral:tRNA from 1 species